UCCGAUGUGGUGUAGUGGCUGACAUUGCUGUCUUUCAAGCCUUCGAGCGUAUUUAAUCACAGCAGCCCGGGGUUCGAUUCCCCGCAUCGGAA